rnacentral:rRNA from 1 species
UACGGGGGGGGCAAGCGUUGUUCGGAAUUACUGGGCGUAAAGGGCUCGUAGGCGGCCAACUAAGUCGGACGUGAAAUCCCUCGGCUUAACCGGGGAACUGCGUCCGAUACUGGAUGGCUUGAGUUCGGGAGAGGGAUGCGGAAUUCCAGGUGUAGCGGUGAAAUGCGUAGAUAUCUGGAGGAACACCGGUGGCGAAGGCGGCAUCCUGGACCGACACUGACGCUGAGGAGCGAAAGCCAGGGGAGCAGACGGG